UACGUAGGGUGCGAGCGUUGUCCGGAAUUAUUGGGCGGAAAGAGCUCGUAGGCGGCUUGUCGCGUCGGAUGUGAAAGCCCGGGGCUUAACUCCGGGUCUGCAUUCGAUACGGGCAGGCUAGAGUUCGGUAGGGGAGAUCGGAAUUCCUGGUGUAGCGGUGAAAUGCGCAGAUAUCAGGAGGAACACCGGUGGCGAAGGCGGGUCUCUGGGCCGAUACUGACGCUGAGGAGCGAAAGCGUGGGGAGCGAACAGG
rnacentral:rRNA from 1 species